rfam:Plasmodium malariae genome assembly, contig: contig3534
UUUUAGGCUUCACUAGAAGCCAUUAUAAAUAAAUAUUUAUAUAAAU